rnacentral:tRNA from 1 species
GGGGCUGUAGCUCAUCAGGGAGAGCGCGUCGUUCGCAACGACGAGGUAACGGGUUCGAGUCCCGUCAGCUCCACCA